rnacentral:tRNA from 1 species
GUAGCCGUGGCUGAGUGGUUAAGGCGAUAGACUUGAAAUCUUUUGGGAUUUUCCCGCGCAGGUUCGAAUCCUGCGGACAACG